rnacentral:misc_RNA from 1 species
AUGAUCUCUCUUUCUUCUUCUUAUCUUCUUAAGGGUGUGAUGGCAAAUUGUAAUCAAGCUAUUUAAAUUCAAGCUGGAUUUGAAUGAGAUUUUUUUUUAUAAGUAAGCAUGCUUUUUUUCUUAAAUUAAUGGCCAGGAAAAACUUAACAUGAGCACAUCCUUCUAAGACCUGGUCAAUAGACCCCCCCAAUACACCCAUCCUAGAUGUGGCAUGUUAAGUAAAAAAAACCUGGUAAGAAGAUACAAAAGCAUCCAAGAAAACCCAGAACUAGCUAAGACAACACAUCAAGCCAAAAUGAGAGGAUUAAAACCCAUAACAAAACUUAAGCACCAAGAUCAAACAGAAGAACACACAACUAACUUAACACAAACUACAAGAGCAGGGUAGUUAAACUCUCACAACAACAAAUGCAAAGGAGCUAGAGAAACACAAGAAAAUCCUUUUGAUACAGAUCGCCUUGCUUCUCUAGUUGAUCAAUGAUGGAGUUAGCUUUGUGUAAAACAUGAACAAAGAAUACAUGACGUAGUGACAUCUUGAGAUUCAGGGCUGACUUGAUCGUGAAUCAAAACUUACCCUAGUAUGAAUUAUUAUUUAUUUAUUUUUUCUCUUUGAACUUGGUUGUGUUUUGGUACAAAUGAAAUGACAUUUUGACAAUCCAAGCACUCGAGAAAGCAUCACCUCUUUCCGUGAGGGAGUCUUCCAACUUUUAAGGAUGAUAAAAACCAUAAAUAGCAAUUACUAUUGUUGUAGUAUCUUCGCUUACAAAAUCUCUCAAAAAACAUUGAAACAACCAAAUAAAGUACUAGCAUAACAUACACAAAUAAGACACUGACAUAACUGUGAAUCAUUAAAAACAACAACUUCAACAACAUUUACCUUAAACUCCACCAAAUUUUAUGCCAAAAACAAUCCAGGAAAUGAAAAUACACAUACCUCCAUCGUCUAUUAAUAGCUAGAGGUCCCAACACGCUCCAAAAACCCACAAUGAAUCCAAGUGCCAUGCUCACAUAAAACCAAUCCACUUUGACACCAUCACCCUUUUCUUUUUCUUCUUCUUUUCCAUUAUUGAGUAUAACACCAUUGUCACUGCAAUUCUCAGAGAGUGGAGGUCCACAUAGUCCUUUGUUGCCAACAAAGCUAGAAGAGCUAAAAGUCAGCAACUGAGUGCUUGUAGGAAUUCUCCCACUCAAAUUAUUAUUGGACAAGUUCAACAAGCUCAAAAAUGUUAGAUUUGUGAUGCUUUGUGGAAUUCCUCCAAAUAAUUGAUUUUGAGAAAAAUCUAAAACUUCUAGCAUUUUCAUAGCACCUAUAUUCUCAGGAAUCUUUCCAGAUAACAAAUUAGCUGACAAAUUAAGAGAUUGCAAUGAUAGAAGACUUGUUAUUUCUUUUGGAAUCUCUCCAAAAAAAUUAUUGUCAGAAAGAUCUAUGCUUUUCACAAAUUUUAGAAUUUUUUCAUACUCAACCAUCCUUCCUUUCAUCACAAUUAAUGCAUCAUCUCCAAAAAAUGAAUAUCCACUUGACACAUUAAAAACUUGUGCUACUGAAUUAAUUGUAGUCAUUGGACUGAAGUUUUUUAUGCAGCUUGGGAUGGUCCCUGAGAGAUUAUUGUGAGAAAGGUCUAGAAUUUGCAAAGAAUUCAAAUGGCAAAGUUCCUUGGGUAUGUACCCAUGAAACUUAUUUGCACGAAGGUUGAGAAGAAGCAAAUGCGAAAGCCCUUCCCCUAUCCAUGUUGGAAUGCGCCCGAUCAAUUCAUUUUCACCAACGUCAAGUGUAGUUAACUUCGAACAAUUUUGAAGUGAGAAUGGUAUUUCACCUGAGAGGCUGUUAUUACGAAGAUGCAAGGAUUGAAGAGAACUUAAAGCCCCAAUCGAAUUGGGAAUAUUGCCACUCAAGUUGUUGUUGUCUAAAGUUAAAAACCACAGUUCUGGCCAAUUCAACCAACAAUCUGGUAUUUCUCCGGAUAAAAGAUUAUUUUCAAGGUUAAGAAUAAUCAUUCCCUUCAUUUGAUUCUUCUUAUAACAAAGGAUGUUGGAUAUGGAACCUGAAAAUGAAUUAUUGUGAAGAAUCAACGUUUUCACAUUGGCAUAGAUCCAAGGUAAUGGACCACUAAAGUGAUUUGAGCUCAAGUCAAUCACCGAAUAAGAUGGAUUAAUAUUGGGGAUAUCAGGAGUGGUUCCAUGGAUUUGGUUGUGAGAGAUAUUUAAAUAGUAAAAUUUUGCAGACAUGUUCCAAAACCAGUAAGGAACACUGGAAAUUUUGGAGUUUGACAAAUCCACUUCAUAUAAAUAUUUUAGAGAAUGAAGCCACCUUGGAAAUUGUGGGCCAAUAACCCAAGAUCUCAAUCUUAAGAAUUCAAUGUGAUCAAAAGGUGGAAUCCAAUUUGAACUAACUUUCAACAUCAAAUGAUUUUCGGAAGCAUCAAAAGCUUUCAAAUUUGUAAGGUUUGUAAAAUGGAUUUCAGAAACAUCACCCUCCAACAAAUUGUAAGCAAUAUCUAUCUCCACUACAUUUGCAAGUGCUCCAAACCACACAGGGAGAUUUCCUGAAAUGAAAUUAACCGAAAGACGAAGGUUGACCAAAUUCCUAAAAUGGUUGGGAUGAUUGGACAAACGACCAAAUAAUUGGCAACUAUCUAACUCCAAUGACUCUAGCCCAUUUGAAACACAUCCUGAUAGAAUCUCAAGGAUAUCGUUUAUGUCCUGGCUUAGCUUGACUCCUGACAAAGAGAGGAACCUCAAAUUACAAAGAUUUUUGAAUGGUCUUGGAAUUCCUCCAUCCAGUUCAAGUUCUUUGUUUGUUGACAAAUCAAGGCUGGUGAGAGAUGUAAAGUCUGCAAUGGCGCUAGAAAUUUUACCUUGAAAGAAAUUGCUAGCAAGAUUAAGGAGCUCAAGGUGACUACAAUUGUAUAACCAAUUGGGUAUUGAGGAAGUCAAAUAGUUUCGAGAUAAAUCGAGUUCCUUCAAUAAAGUGAUGUUUUGAGGUUCAAUAGAAAUCGGACCUUCAAAGUUGUUAAGGGCAAAAUUAAUAGAAACAAGAUUUCCAAGACGAAAAAUCCAUGUGGGAAUUGAAGAAUUAAAAUCAUUUGAUGCGAGGUCAAGUUUCUGGAGUGAAGUUAGAUUUUGAAAAUCAUUAGGGAUUGGUCCUUGAAAUAGAUUUCCAGCUAAGUUAAGAGAAGUAAGAGUUUUAAGAUGAAAAAUCCAAUUAGGAAGAAAAGAUUGAGGAAAAACAUUCAAUGACAAAUCAAGAGUGGAAAGAAACGAAAAAUUAACAUUUACUGGUGGGUGAAGAUACUGCAGAUUGCAAUUUGACAGGUGUAAUUCUACUAGAGAAGGAAGCAAGUUUGUCACUUUCAACCAAUUGAAGGUUUGGCUAAGAUUCACAUUACUCAAAUCAAGGAAUUCUAGGACAGAAAGACCAGAAAGCCAAUGCAAAUCCUCAACAUAUGGAUAAUAAUAGCCACCAGCUUUGAGAUUAAGGUAGUGAAGAUUGGAAAGAUUACCAAGUUCAUGAGGAACCAUUCCCCCAAAUCCAGCACCCGAGAGAUUAAGGUAUCUUAAACUCCCCAUAGAGCAAAGGAAUUUGGGAAUGUGAACUCCUUCAUAAUUAUUGUUGCUUAGGUCUAGGUACUUUAAAUGCUUCAAGUCGAAUAAAGAUUCACUAAUCUUACCUCUAAAUGCCGACCUCUCCAAAUAUUUAGUAUAGUGACAUUAGAGGCAUAAUACUCAUCCACAGAAAGACUUCUAAGAUGGAGCUCAAGAACAUGGCUGGUGAUAUUAUAACAUAAGACUCCGGACCAUCCACAGCAAUCUGCAUCACCACCUCAAGAAGAAAGCAAGUUAGAAGGAUCUUUAAGGCCAAGCUUGAACUGCAAAAGAGCUUCUCUCUCGCCUUCAAUUCAGUCAGAAUGGAAGUUUCUAUGACAAAGGCCACCACUGAAAACAGUUGCUGCAAAGAGAAACCAAGGGAAAGCAAGUGUUAAAGAAGUAGCACUCAUUGGUAUUUUCAUGAGCAUUCACUACUAGAGGUUAAACUAUGGAGGAAUACACCAAAGAAUCUCACAAUGGAGUCCUAUUUAUAAUGGCUUUCAUGCUUGAUCACCACGAACACGCUGAGAUGUAAAUGGGAAGUUUCCAUUGAUUUUCCUACUAAUUUGUUUGUUUUGUGUAGAUAAUUCUAAAUUAUUAAAUACAGACAAUCAAAUAUCAUUUUUUAAGCCAAUCAAAAUAAAUUUAUAUUGAAAAAUUGGGUUAGUUAAAAGU